CAGCAAGUGUGUCACCUGAGGAAUGCCAGCGCAGGGAGUCGUGGUCUUUUUCAAAACUCAUGGAACCCUGGCGUUCACCAUGCCAGAAAUUCGUUUCCAGUCCCUUGUGCUUGAAAAGCAGGGGAGGAAGACUGAUGGAAAUGGAACUGGACAGUUCAGACAAAUCUCAAGCUGGCUGUGAGGCGCUCCUGAGAUCUUCCGAACUUGGUGAGCAUGACAGAAUCACCUCAGCCUACCCAGAAAACACCAGGCUAUUUAACAAGUAGUUUAGAUGCUGCCUCUGAAAGUUGAACCCUUUAUGUCUUUUUAACGGAUUUUUUAUUUCUUCAUAAAUAAUUGAAAUGUGUUUAAAAUUUAAUCAACAAAGUAAAUUAUUAGAACUGUGGAGAGAGUUCUGAUCACAAACUGGGAAAAUAUGCUCUCUCUCUCUCUCUCUCUCUUUCUCCUCUCUCUCUCCUCUCUCUCUCCCCUCUCUCCUUUUUGUAACCGCAAAGCAACUGUUAUAGCAAACUCUAUAGCAAAGUUAGAUGCUAUACUGUUUAGAUACACACCUGACGCUGCAGGAAAGAUUUUGGGAAGCAUGCCUUAAAGUUCU
rnacentral:lncRNA from 1 species